ACCAACUUGCCCAACACAACCAAACCGAACCCAUGACCCACAUUGACCUAAAUUAACAACCCAUAACCCGCAACCCAACAGAAUCAUAGCUCAAAAAAAUCAGUGACCAAUGAACUCUAACGCGAUUAACUCAUACCUCGACCGUCCAACCCGCCACUUUAACACCUUCGAAGAAACGGACACGUGGACCAACGAUGUUGUCACACGUGUACUCGGACAUGUGUGUGACGAGUAGUCACCUUACCCUUUUAAGAAAGGGCAGAGAAUACUUGGGGGUGAUCUUUUGAUAUGCAUGCAUGUUUCUCUUUCACUAGAGAGCUUCUUCUUCUUCUUCUUCUUCUUCUUACCUCAAAAGAACAGAGAAUAUUGUAAAUUACCAGUUGAAGAAUCCAUAAAAGGAAAGAAUGCAAGUACAAGGAAGAAAAAAUCACAAAUUCCUCAAAUCUUUUCUUUUUCCAAAGUGGGGGAAUAUAUAGAAUGAGAGGGGGGGCCAAAAGGGAAAUACAGUUGCAGCAGUCAGAUAUAACAGAUUAAGAACUGAGCAAGUAUUCCUUUCCAUUAGUACGGCAUCAUCAUAGAUAAGAAGAGAAGAAAUUCAGCUAAGUACAAUCACCAGUAGUACUGUACUACUAUUCUGGUAAAACAUCAUGGUUUACUGUUUCAGGCACCAAUGUUCUGGAGAAUGUCUAAUGAUCGAAUUGCUUUUCGAACGUAAUUGUUCUAACUUCUAACCUGUCUGGAUCAAGGAGAUGCCGCCAUGUGAACAGUGAUGAUUCCUGUGGAGAAUGGCGACCAGUGAACCUGGUGAGAGGCUUAUGAUCCCUAUGCUCGACCGAUUUGGCUUCCUGAUUAUAUUCCACAACAGUAGGUAAAUCCGUAUUCGUCAUGGUAUAAGAUAAAACUUUGGAUGCAGCAACAUAGCAUAAUUCAUCAGUGAACAUGAAGUUGAUCUACUAACUCAAUGCCAGCUUUUAGUUGGAGUGAUUCAUGAAAUCCCCUUCUGCAAAACCCAGCAUAUAUAGUUCACUCAGUUCAUGGGGAUGCUGCAAUGUCAGAGAGGAAAAUAAAAGUUCAGUUUCCGUUUGCAGGUUACACUAUAGUUUCCCCUUAUAUGAUUGAUUCCUAUCCACAUUCCAGAAAAACAGUUAAGGAAUAUAUAUAUUUUUAACUUUUAUUCUUUACCUGAAAGCUUUUUUCCUGGGAUUCUUCAAAACUGCAUAAUAUAAAUAU
rnacentral:lncRNA from 1 species